rnacentral:rRNA from 1 species
CAAUAGCGUAUAUUAAAGUUGUUGCGGUUAAAAAGCUCGUAGUUGGAUUUCUGCCGAGGACGACCGGUCCGCCCUCUGGGUGAGUAUCUGGCUCGGCCUGGGCAUCUUCUUGGAGAACGUAGCUGCACUUGACUGUGUGGUGCGGUAUCCAGGACUUUUACUUUGAGGAAAUUAGAGUGUUUCAAGCAGGCUUACGCCUUGAAUACAUUAGCAUGGAAUAAUAAGAUAGGACCUCGGUUCUAUUUUGUUGGUUUCUAGAGCUGAGGUAAUGAUUAAUAGGGAUAGUUGGGGGCAUUCGUAUUUAACUGUCAGAGGUGAGAUUCUUGGAUUUGUUAAAGACGGACUACUGCGAAAGCAUUUGCCAAGGAUGUUUNCAUUG